rnacentral:rRNA from 1 species
GAUGAACGCUGGUGGCGUGCCUAACACAUGCAAGUCGAGCGAUUCUCUUCGGAGAAGAGCGGCGGACGGGUGAGUAACGCGUGGGUAACCUGCCCUGUACACACGGAUAACAUACCGAAAGGUAUGCUAAUACGAGAUAACAUGCUUUUAUCGCAUGGUAGAAGUAUCAAAGCUUUUGCGGUACAGGAUGGACCCGCGUCUGAUUAGCUAGUUGGUGAGGUAACGGCUCACCAAGGCGACGAUCAGUAGCCGACCUGAGAGGGUGAUCGGCCACAUUGGAACUGAGACACGGUCCAAACUCCUACGGGAGGCAGCAGUGGGGAAUAUUGCACAAUGGGCGAAAGCCUGAUGCAGCAACGCCGCGUGAGCGAUGAAGGCCUUCGGGUCGUAAAGCUCUGUCCUCAAGGAAGAUAAAGACGGUACUUGAGGAGGAAGCCCCGGCUAACUACGUG